GAAAAAACAUGAUAAAAAUUAAAAAAAAAAAAAUCGCAAUUAAGCAGUAGCAGAGCAGUAUAUCGAGCGCCUCUGUAAAGAAUCGAAGUCUAAACCCUCCUCUCUUCACUAUCCCCUCGAAAUCUCUCUAAAUUCGAAGCUGCCAAAAUGGUAGCAUCAGCUGUUUCAGUGCCUCUUAGCUUCUCUAUCUCUAAUCGCAACAAAACCCCCUCCAUUUCUCUAUUAUCUCACAGAAACUCGGCGAGGUAUAUAGUUUCCUCUUUGCAUAGUCCCUACGGCGAUGAUUCUUCGGCGACAGGACUAUCAAGCAAAACUUGUGGGUUUUCUCUAAGGGUUGAUGAGAAGGAUAUUCGAAAUGCUAAUCAAAGUUAUCCUGCAAUUGAAGCCAAAAAAGGAAAUCCACCCAUUAUGCCAGCAGUUAUGACUCCAGGAGGACCUUUGGAUCUAUCAUCUGUAUUAUUUAGGAAUCGCAUAAUCUUCAUCGGGCAACCAAUCAAUUCACAGGUGGCUCAGCAAGUUAUAUCGCAGCUUGUGACUCUAGCAACCAUUGAUGAGAAAGCAGAUAUUCUGAUGUAUCUCAACUGCCCCGGUGGAAGCACCUACUCUGUGUUGGCAAUUUAUGACUGCAUGUCAUGGAUAAAACCAAAAGUUGGCACCGUAUGUUUUGGAGUAGCUGCAAGCCAAGGAGCACUUCUUCUUGCUGGUGGAGAAAAGGGAAUGCGGUAUGCAAUGCCCAAUGCACGUAUUAUGAUACAUCAACCUCAGGGUGGAUGUGGGGGUCAUGUGGAGGUUGUGAGACGCCAAGUAAAUGAAGCUGUUCAAUCUCGCCACAAAAUUGACAGAAUGUAUGCUGCAUUUACUGGCCAACCUCUUGAGAAAGUGCAAGAAUACACCGAGAGGGAUCGUUUCUUAUCUACCUCAGAGGCUAUGGAGUUUGGUCUGAUUGAUGGCAUCCUGGAAACAGAAUACUGAACUGGGGUCUGUUCAUGUUUGGCCAUCAAAUACACAAAAAGGAAAUUACGGGUGGAAUUGCCUGGAUUAGAUCAGUGGAUUAAAUUGGCCAACGUUUGUAUUCAGAAAAAGAAUAGGCGGGCUUUGGUGAUGCAUCUCUGUAAUUUCUUGUUUCAAUGUUCUUUAAACAGGAAAUGAUUUAUUGUACCUGAAAAGCUUGAGC
rnacentral:misc_RNA from 1 species